GUAGGUGGCAAGCGUUGUCCGGAAUUAUUGGGCGUAAAGCGCGCGCAGGCGGUUCUUUAAGUCUGAUGUGAAAGCCCACGGCUCAACCGUGGAGGGUCAUUGGAAACUGGAGAACUUGAGUACAGAAGAGGAAAGCGGAAUUCCACGUGUAGCGGUGAAAUGCGUAGAGAUGUGGAGGAACACCAGUGGCGAAGGCGGCUUUCUGGUCUGUAACUGACGCUGAGGCGCGAAAGCGUGGGGAGCAAACAGGGAUUAGAUACCCUGGUAGUCCACGCCGUAAACGAUGAGUGCUAAGUGUUAGGGGGUUUCCCGCCCCUUAGUGCUGCAGCUAACGCAUUAAGCACUCCGCCUGGGGAGUACGCCGCAAGGCUG
rnacentral:rRNA from 1 species